NNACAGAUUGAUUAGGUUUAGAAAAGCAAAGAGAUGAAGAACUCCCAAGUUCUUCAAGGUUUGUUUCUACUUUUAAAAGUAGAGAUAAAUUAGCAGUGUCCCGUUCGUCUAGAGGCCUAGGACACCGCCCUUUCACGGCGGUAACAGGGGUUCGACUCCCCUACGGGAUACCAUUGGGUCGUUAGCUCAGUUGGUAGAGCAGUUGACUUUUAAUCAAUUGGUCGCAGGUUCGAAUCCUGCACGACCCACCAUUNNACUGACACUCAGAUGCGAAAGCGUGGGGAGCAAACAGGAUUAGAUACCCUGGUAGUCCACGCCGUAAACGAUGUCUACUUGGAGGUUGUGGCCUUGAGCCGUGGCUUUCGGAGCUAACGCGUUAAGUAGACCGCCUGGGGAGUACGGUCGCAAGAUUAAAACUCAAAUGAAUUGACGGGGGCCCGCACAAGCGGUGGAGCAUGUGGUUUAAUUCGAUGCAACGCGAAGAACCUUACCUACUCUUGACAUCCAGAGAAGCCAGCGGAGACGCAGGUGUGCCUUCGGGAGCUCUGAGACAGGUGCUGCAUGGCUGUCGUCAGCUCGUGUUGUGAAAUGUUGGGUUAAGUCCCGCAACGAGCGCAACCCUUAUCCUUGUUUGCCAGCGAGUCAUGUCGGGAACUCCAGGGAGACUGCCGGUGAUAAACCGGAGGAAGGUGGGGACGACGUCAAGUCAUCAUGGCCCUUACGAGUAGGGCUACACACGUGCUACAAUGGCGCAUACAGAGGGCAGCAAGCUAGCGAUAGUGAGCGAAUCCCAAAAAGUGCGUCGUAGUCCGGAUUGGAGUCUGCAACUCGACUCCAUGAAGUCGGAAUCGCUAGUAAUCGUGAAUCAGAAUGUCACGGUGAAUACGUUCCCGGGCCUUGUACACACCGCCCGUCACACCAUGGGAGUGGGCUGCAAAAGAAGUGGGUAGUUUAACCUUUCGGGGAGGACGCUCACCACUUUGUGGUUCAUGACUGGGGUGAAGUCGUAACAAGGUAGCCCUAGGGGAACCUGGGGCUG
rnacentral:rRNA from 1 species